UACGGUAGGGUGCAAGCGUUUGUCCGGAAUUUAUUGGGCGUAAAGAGCGUGUAGGCGGCCCGAUUAGUCCGCUGUGAAAGUCCAGGGCUCAACCCUGGAAUGCCGGUGGAUACUGUCGGGCUAGAGUCCGGAAGGGGCGAGUGGAAUUCCUGGUGUAGCGGUGAAAUGCGCAGAUAUCAGGAGGAACACCAAUGGCGAAGGCAGCUCGCUGGGACGUGACUGACGCUGAGACGCGAAAGCGUGGGGAGCAAACAGG
rnacentral:rRNA from 1 species